rnacentral:tRNA from 1 species
GGAUGUAGUUCAGUGUUAGAGCACUUGCCUAGCAUGCAUGAGGUCAUGGGUUUGAUCCCCAGCACCA